rnacentral:rRNA from 1 species
CCUACGGGAGGCAGCAGUAGGGAAUAUUGCUCAAUGGGGGAAACCCUGAAGCAGCAACGCCGCGUGGAGGAUGAAGGUUUUCGGAUUGUAAACUCCUUUUGUUAGAGAAGAUAAUGACGGUAUCUAACGAAUAAGCACCGGCUAACUCCGUGCCAGCAGCCGCGGUAAUACGGAGGGUGCAAGCGUUACUCGGUAUCACUGGGCGGAAAGAGCGCGUAGGCGGGAUAGCAAGUCAGAUGUGAAAUCCUAUGGCUUAACCAUAGAACUGCAUUUGAAACUGUUAUUCUAGAGUAUGGGAGAGGUAGGUGGAAUGCUUGGUGUAGGGGUAAAAUCCGUAGAGAUCAAGAGGAAUACUCAGUGCGAAGGCGACCUGCUAGAACAUAACUGACGCUGAUGCGCGAAAGCGUGGGGAGCAAACAGGAUUAGAUACCCCGGUAGUC